UACGUAGGUGGCAAGCGUUGUCCGGAAUUAUUGGGCGUAAAGCGCGCGCAGGUGGUUUCUUAAGUCUGAUGUGAAAGCCCACGGCUCAACCGUGGAGGGUCAUUGGAAACUGGGGAACUUGAGUGCAGGAGAGAAGAGUGGAAUUCCACGUGUAGCGGUGAAAUGCGGUAGAGAUGUGGAGGAACACCAGUGGCGAAGGCGACUCUUUGGCCUGUAACUUGACACUGAGGCGCGAAAGCGUGGGGAGCAAACAGG
rnacentral:rRNA from 1 species